GGGGACAGUAGUGCGUUAAACACACAUGCCAUUGCCCAUCGAAAUGAGCAAAAACACUUCGGUAUAUUAAAGGCAUCCAGCAAUAUAACGACACUUCAGACAGCGAUUGCGUCACAAAAAAAAGCAGUGACCCGAGUUAAUUACGUCGGAAAUGCCCUGACACUAAUGAGUCCCAAAGUUCAUUCACUAACGGUCAACGAAGUCGUCAAAACAGACGGGGGCCAAAGCUCUUUUGGUCGGGCGGGCUUCGAACGAAGAAGAAGAAGGCAGGUCGGUGGUCACUGGUCAGUUCUCGGAAACGCGGAUCGCACGGUCGCAUUCCAAGCCGUGGAAUGCGGCCGCCGCUGCAUGGACUGAAAGAAACCGACAACACGCCACUGAAGUACAGGGACAGGAACAACAACAACAAGUAACAAACUAAUAAAACAAUCAAUGUUUUCUAAUCGAGCGAGGAAGGCCCCGAUAGCCAACGGGAAAAAUAGCGGGAUGUUGGUAAAACAACUCCAGAGAAACUUUAAGAAAUAUAAAGAAAUCUGUUUACAAGAAUGUUUGCAUCUCUGCAAGUUUUUAAUGUUCACAAGAAUGUUUGCAUCUCAUAUCAGGGCUCGAUGUUAAAAGGAAGUUUUCUGGUAAAUAAAACGGCAAGGAUUAAGCAAAUUACAAGAAACGUAAACAAAAAAACUACAAGAACAUUUAAAAUAUCUGUAUCGCGAAAACCAAUCGAUUACGGAUGUAAACAGUUUUUGUACGAUUGUUGGUCGUAGGAAAUGCAACCUAAUUUUGGCUCACCCUGUCUGCAGGCAGCAGAAAACAACCUAGAAACUAAAGGUAGAAUUUCACACAAAUUGAUAGACGAACGGAAUUCCUCCAGUUUAUUUAUUCCCCCAGUGAGUGAGUGAGUCCCAGAAGUAAUGUCGACAUUCAGCUGUGGAAAAAUGUAAAAUUGAAUUAAAAAGCAGGUGCUUUCAUUUGAAAAAAUAAAGUUGUUGGUCGUAACGUCUUUUCGGACCACCAUGUACAAAUAAAUUUGGUAUCAAAAAUUGCA